AUGGCGGGAAAGAUCUCCGUGAGGGAGACCCAGAGUCUCAGGCUCAUCCAGUCUGCUGAAGGACGGCAGCCGAGCUCGAGAGGGUCCCAAUCACGUCGGGAGCCAGCAACCAAGCUUGGGCCUCAGGGCUCUCCAGCAGGGCUCUCCACCUACAAGUCCCUGUCCCGAGGGUUUGUCCCACCUGCUGAGGCAUCUGGGGCGUGUGGAUGGGAGGAGAAGUUUCUGCCUCCGGAGAAGUGCUGCACGUGUUCCCCUUGGUCUCAGGGUGUCAAGCUCCGAAAGAAGGCGACCCCCCAGACCCCCACCAGUGCAGCACCACCAGCGGCAAGCUGCAGAAGGCCUUCCAGUGGCCAGCAUCUUGGGAAACUAAGACCCCCCUGUCGACUCUUGGGCCAACCCCAUCAGAGGACUCCACCACAGUGCCCAGCACUGCCAGGGUCUCAGUGCCUUCCACCAGCCACACCCAGGCGCAAACCAGAGAGCCGGAAAGGACAGCGGACGCCAGUCUCAGAGCACCACCCCCAGGCCGGGUCUGCGCGCCCCAGUGCCCCCAGUGACCGAGGCCACUGUCCUCUGGCAGAGUGUCGGAACCACACCAGCCCUCCCAGCCUCUACCUGCCACAGCCUCCCCUGCAGGGCCCAUGGCUCAAGGGACAGGCCACCUUCACCUGCCUGGCAGUGGGGGCUGGCCUUCAGGAGGCCCGCUUGUCCUGGGAGGUGGCCGGGGCGCCCCUGCACGCGGGUGUGGACACUAGGCCGCUGGAGGAGAAUGCCAAUGGUUCCCAGAGCCUGAGAAGCCGCCUGGACUUGCCCGUGGCCUCCUGGGCCUCGGGAGCCAACAUCACCUGCACGCUGAGCGGCCUGGGCGUGGCUUCCCAAGUGGUGUCCGCAGCUCCCAAGGAACACGCUGCCUCUGCGCCCAGCAGCCUCACGGUCCACGUCCUGACUGUGUCCAGAGCAGCCUCCUGGCUCCUGUGCAAGGUGUCCGGCUUCUCGCCCCCAGACGUCCUCCUCACCUGGCUAAGGGACCAGGUCCAGGUAGACUCUGCUUCCUUUGCCACUGCACCCCCCGCAGCCGAGCUGGGGAGCAGCACCUUCGAGACCUGGAGCGUCCUGCACAUCCGCACAGCCCAGGCCCCUCGCCCGGACACCUACACGUGUGUGGUCCGGCACGAGGCCUCCCGAAGGUUGCUCAACGCCAGCUGGAGCCCAGACAUGGCCAGUCUGGACAUGACCCCCCCACCCCCCCAGAGCCAUGACGAGAGCGGCGGCGGCUCCACGGACCUGGAAGACACAGGCAGACUGUGGCCCACGUUCGCGGCCCUCUUCCUUCUCACUCUGCUCUACAGCGGCUUCGUCACCUUCAUCAAACUUCAGCUCAUGCUCAUCCCUGCACGUGGCCAGUGGAGGCUGACCCACACCUGACACCUGACAUGCCACGACCGGACGCGGGGCUGUGGUCAGACGACCCCCAUGGCCUCUGCAUGUGACCUCUGGGGCAAAGGCACUUUG